UCGGGGAACGAUAACGGCGUCGAGCGGCGGACGGGUGAGUAAUGCCUAGGAAAUUGCCCUGAUGUGGGGGAUAACCAUUGGAAACGAUGGCUAAUACCGCAUAAUGCCUACGGGCCAAAGAGGGGGACCUUCGGGCCUCUCGCGUCAGGAUAUGCCUAGGUGGGAUUAGCUAGUUGGUGAGGUAAUGGCUCACCAAGGCGACGAUCCCUAGCUGGUCUGAGAGGAUGAUCAGCCACACUGGAACUGAGACACGGUCCAGACUCCUACGGGAGGCAGCAGUGGGGAAUAUUGCACAAUGGGCGCAAGCCUGAUGCAGCCAUGCCGCGUGUGUGAAGAAGGCCUUCGGGUUGUAAAGCACUUUCAGUCGUGAGGAAGGUAGUGUAGUUAAUAGCUGCAUUAUUUGACGUUAGCGACAGAAGAAGCACCGGCUAACUCCGUGCCAGCAGCCGCGGUAAUACGGAGGGUGCGAGCGUUAAUCGGAAUUACUGGGCGUAAAGCGCAUGCAGGUGGUUUGUUAAGUCAGAUGUGAAAGCCCGGGGCUCAACCUCGGAAUUGCAUUUGAAACUGGCAGACUAGAGUACUGUAGAGGGGGGUAGAAUUUCAGGUGUAGCGGUGAAAUGCGUAGAGAUCUGAAGGAAUACCGGUGGCGAAGGCGGCCCCCUGGACAGAUACUGACACUCAGAUGCGAAAGCGUGGGGAGCAAACAGGAUUAGAUACCCUGGUAGUCCACGCCGUAAACGAUGUCUACUUGGAGGUUGUGGCCUUGAGCCGUGGCUUUCGGAGCUAACGCGUUAAGUAGACCGCCUGGGGAGUACGGUCGCAAGAUUAAAACUCAAAUGAAUUGACGGGGGCCCGCACAAGCGGUGGAGCAUGUGGUUUAAUUCGAUGCAACGCGAAGAACCUUACCUACUC
rnacentral:rRNA from 1 species